CAUCCAGCUGAAUUUCCAAGGUGUUCCAUGCAAUAUGGCUAAUUAACCCUGCCAGUUGCACUGGCUAGUCUUUACACAGGCUCCUGCCUCUAUUUCAGCCAGGGCCAACUGAGUGAGUUGGCCACAGCAGCAGUACAAACAAGUGUUGUGCUGCAAAAGAGUGGACAGAAGUCUCACUGAAGGAAUAAAAACCCCCAACAUAAUCCUCAACAACAAACACCCCUCCAGAAAAAUUGACUGAAUAAUAUCUGUGCUGCACCCAGCUGCUUAUUAGGGUAAACAGGACAGAGCUUCAAAACUGCAUCUCACUGACAAACCCAAGAAGAAUGGAAGCUGCUGGCUCUAGCCUGUCUGUCCUCUUAGCAAAAUACAGCUGAGUGGUCACUAAAGUAGAGAAAAGGGUUUCCCAAAACAUCCAGAGAUGUCACCAGAGGUGCAUUGGCCCUUCAAGUUGGGAUAAAUAGGAGGAAGUGAGAGACUAGAUGGAUGGGUGCCUGGCUGCUGGCCAAAGUCAGUCCACCACAGCUAUGAAAUAAUGUUUCCACUGUCAAUCUUUCUAAGAUCUCCAGGACUUAGACUGGAAUGGAGAUAUAAAAUCCAUACUAAUAAAACUCUGCCUAUAACACAUAGGAAUAAACAGAAUUAGUAAGGAGCAGAAAUGUUGCUCAGAGAAAAUUUCAGUAACAGGAAAACUUCAUAGAUCUCUACCUUCUCUACUGUAGUACAGUCACAAAUUUGAAAAUCAAAGCUUAUAGUUACAAGGACAAAGUCAAAUGACUACUACUCCA